GACCAAAAUGGCGGCGGCUGCAGAUCUCUUCAGUGUGGCGCGCGGGCUUGGCGCUGUUGAGGAGAAAGGGGGCUUCUCGCGCCCUGCGACGGGUGCAGCUGCAGCAUCUCCCCUGACAGCAGUGUAACCGCCUUGCACGGCGGGUAGCGUGCUUCUUGGGGUGGCUCUUGAGUCGUGAGGAAAGAAGUUCUGUCAGAGCUCACCAGUGUGCAUUUCUUCCAUAUGCUGUUAGGAAAUCCAUAGCUUCCAUAGCCAGGAUUCCCUGAUGAUUCUCCAGGAAAGAGAAGCUGUUCCAGCCAGCAGCCAUCACUAGAUGGUGCACGCCACUUACCACCCUGAGUCCUGCUUUCCCUGCCGGAGUGCAUGCCCAGCUCCUAGCUCUCAGCCCUGGGCAGGGUGGCACGAGAAAGUGCUUGCUACAGUUCAGUAGUGGAGGAAGGCAACAGCUGGUCUGUGCAUUUGUGAGUGAGCAGCAUUUAAUAAGGUUGAUCCUGGAAAUGCACAUUUUUCAUGGAAGGAACUAAUUACUACAGUGAUUUUACUGUGCUCUGAUGAUCCAUCAUUUGCCUUUCUUUGGCUGCUCCAAUGCAAAUUGUUGUAAUUGUUACAACAGUGUGCCUAAAAGAAGGAAUUAUCAUCUCAGUGAAGCAGUGGGACACACUACAUAUCUGCAUGGUGCUCCUUCCAGACUGUUUUCCUAUGGUCCUGUGAAUUUUAGAAGAUGCAGAAGAGAGCCAGUGCAUCUCCUGGUGGGACAAGCAGGCCAUCCUCACAGAAGUGGCUGCUAUGAUGGAUGUUGUGCAUUACGUGCAGUACCAAGGGAGCACCUAGGAACAGCUCCUGUGGCUCCUCCAGCAAUACCAGGAGGUCUGAGAUAGCUUCUGGGUGACAGAGAGCCUUUGUUACCUCCUAGGGACCUUGAAGAGACUUCAGAUGCUCAUCCCCAAAGACAAACUUUGUGCCAUUGCUGCUGCAGUGCACCACAAGGUCUGCAUGGUCUUUGCGAGAUAAAGAGAUUGGUUCAGAAGAAUGCUACCUCUCACGGCUCCCUCCUCCGUCUGCUCCUAACCUCCUUACUGCAGCGAUCUCCUUUUACUCUUCUACGGAGUCUUUGGGACGUUAACCCUUCUGCUUCUCAGUCUCUAACACUUAGGACUGAUAUUUUUGGAUGUACCCUUUGUGUUUGGAGCUGAAGAUUUGCUGUAAGAAAUGCCAAGUCAAAAGGUGAGGGAAAGUGGCCGUGCCCUUGCCAGCUGCUGGGCCCAACCCUGGGUGUGCGUGAAAUGUCGGCCCCAGCCCACAUCCAGCCUGGCCUGUCGGUUAUUUCCAUGGAGAUCACCAGAGCGCAAAUGAUGAACCGGCAGGAGGAAGGGCUCUUUUGCAUCCUGGUGCCUGCUGUGUCUAAAUUCUGGCUCUUAAUGCACUCUCUUGCCGUAAUUUAUUUCUCCAUUACAUUUCUGACCCGGGCCCCAGCUUUGCAGCUAUCACUGUCAGCCUUUUGCCCCUCUAAUUAUGCUAACAACAGCACCUGAAUGCUAAUUUGCCAUCCCUGCGUUUUGCCUCCGAGUGACAAAGAAACCAUCUGAUUUCAGUGCAUAUUAGGGAGGCACGAACGGUGCCUGAGGGCUUUGCUCCUUAAUGAACACUACUGCCAUCGUGGCUGCUUUCCCCAUCAUGGUGUUGGUGAGCUCUGAAUCUGUUGGAGAAGUUCUUUCCAUUAGCCCUAAAGCCAAAGACUGCAAAUGUUACCUAUUUUAUUUGGAUAUGUCUCAUGACAUUCUUCAGAAUAACCUUUUGUGUUUUUUUUUUUCCUUCGCUGUCUUCCCCACUAUUUGUGCUGGCCCUCUCAGGUUUCCUUACCCUCCCUCCCUUUGGCACCAGGAUCAUUUUUCAGUGCCGAUGUACAGGAGAGGUUGUUCCCUUUCUUCCUUUUUUUUUUAAGGAAGGAUCAUUUUUACCUUGCAUGCCCUUUCAUUCAGCAGCAUCCAUACACUGUAUUUCUCAAGGAGUAAAUGAUUAAACUUUGGAGCUCAGAGUUUCAUGUUUAAAUGUCAAGCUUGGAACACAUCAUCUCAGAAGAAAAAUCAAUAGGAUUUCAAUUUUCUUGUAAUAAAUAUGGCCUUUAUUGGUAGCAAAACAAGAAAACGUCUGGCAUCCCAUCUCACAGUUUUGUUCCCCCUCCCUUAUGCAACAGAUAAAUCAGAGAAGUGAUUUUCAGUCACAAAUCUCAGUCUCCGCCUGCCAUUAUUUUGGGCAGGAAAGCAGCCAAGCUCUUAUUAGAAAGUUACU